UGGGAGGAGGCAUGCGGUCCGGAGAAAGAGGUUGCUACGAUACCAUUCUUGAAGUGUCUAUCGGUUGUGAAAUGCGCUCGGCGCAGGUUCAUUCUAUGGACUGCUACCGCGAAUGGUCUCAUAUUGUACACGCACUCGUUCUCGUACUAGUAUACAGUCCUGAUUCUGUCCAGGAAGCUUCGAGCACCAUCACCCAAAGCUUCUACUGGUAGUGACUGCGGCGUCAGUGGCGCCCGUAAUAGACAUGCACAAUGUAUCGAUGGAAAGCUCUUGUCGCUCUUACUACAGUCAUCUGCUUGGAUUUCUACUUCCCCUACUUCUACUAUCGGUAGGCAAGAGUUGAAAGACGCGAUAGAGCUUGACGGGAUCUGAGUCGGGGCCGGGAAACCCAGAGGAGCUAGAAGAAGCGGAAGAUCCCGAGGAUUUGCCCGAAGAGUCGCGUCCAUGGUGGGUACUACUUUUAGAAAGAGCAACUGAAGCGCAGAACUGCAAAACUGAAUACUGUUCUCCUUGGCCUGGUCCAAUCAACCCUUGAGCUGAGCAACUACAGUAGAGCUUCCAGUUGUCGAUCUUGGUCUGAAGCUCAAAAGACUCGUCAACAGAUAUGAGAGUAUCGACUAUGACCUUUUCCCCUGAGAUGUGAGCCAUUGAUGAAUCUGUUAUUAGACCCACAUCUGAAGACUCUGGGGUAAACAUCAUUGUCUAUAUCCUGAUAGCUGUAUAUAAACAGUUCUAGUAUAUGUUUAUGUACACAUGUUG
rnacentral:misc_RNA from 1 species